GUGAACGCUGGCGGCGUGCCUAAUACCUGCAAGUCGAGCGAACAGAUGAGGAGCUUGCUCCUCUGACGUUAGCGGCGGACGGGUGAGUAACACGUGGAUAACCUACCUAUAAGACUGGGAUAACUUCGGGAAACCGGAGCUAAUACCGGAUAAUAUAUUGAACCGCAUGGUUCAAUAGUGAAAGACGGUUUUGCUGUCACUUAUAGAUGGAUCCGCGCCGCAUUAGCUAGUUGGUAAGGUAACGGCUUACCAAGGCAACGAUGCGUAGCCGACCUGAGAGGGUGAUCGGCCACACUGGAACUGAGACACGGUCCAGACUCCUACGGGAGGCAGCAGUAGGGAAUCUUCCGCAAUGGGCGAAAGCCUGACGGAGCAACGCCGCGUGAGUGAUGAAGGUCUUCGGAUCGUAAAACUCUGUUAUUAGGGAAGAACAAAUGUGUAAGUAACUAUGCACGUCUUGACGGUACCUAAUCAGAAAGCCACGGCUAACUACGUG
rnacentral:rRNA from 1 species